GCUGAGCACUAUUCAUGCUGCAUAUAUCCAAACAUGUCUAUUUCUACUAGUACAAUACCUAUAAUGAUUUAACAAAUUAAACCUGAACAAUAAUAUGUAGGCUAUUUUCUCUCUUGCUAUCUUGAUUGCAACUUUAAUGGUGGUCCCCUUUCUUUUUUUAAGAUGAUUAAAAUGUGCUGCAUGUAAGCUAUUUUUCUCUCCUGCUAUUUUGAUUAUAAUUGUAAUGGUAGUCCUUUUUUAUAAUAAAUAUGCUGAUCUGUCCAUAGCUAAAGUACAAUUUGCUUCACAGAAAUUAUUUGUGCUAAUACAAUUCCUGUAAUCUAUAAUGGUGGUCCUUUUUUUAGAUGAUAAAUGUGCUGAUCACUCUCCAUAGCUAAACUACAAUGUGCUUAACUGAAACUAUUUCUGCUAGUGCAACAAUUUGUUGACUAUUGUCCAUAGCUAAAGCACAAUGUGUUGCUAUAUAUGUUAUGUCUGUGUAAAAUUCGAUUUUAGAAUUUACGGUUUACCUUAAUAGUUUGAUCCUUGCCUGUUUAGUAACAGGAGAAAAAAAUGUGAUUGCAACUCUAAUGGUGGUCCCCUUUCUUUUUUUUAAGAUGAUUAAAAUGUGCUGCAUGUAAGCUAUUUUUCUCUCCUGCUAUCUUGAUUAUAAUUGUAAUGGUUGUCCUUUUAUUAUAAUAAAUGUGCUGAUCUGUCCAUAGCUAAAGUACAAUUUGCUUCACAGAAAUUAUUUGUCCUAAUACAAUUCCUGUAGUCUAUAAUGGUGGUCCUUUUUUUAGAUGAUAAAUGUGCUGAUCACUCUCCAUAGCUAAACUACAAUGUGCUUAACUGAAACUAUUUCUACUAAUGCAACAAUUUGUUAACUAUUGUCCAUAGCUAAAGCAUAAUGUGUUGCUAUAUAUGUUAUGUCUGUGUAGAAUUCCAUUUUAGAAUUUACGGUUUACCUUAAUAGUUUGAUCCUUGCCUGUUUAGUAACAAGAGAAAAAAAAUGCUGCUGAGCACUGGCCAUACUGCAUAUCUGCAAAUACAUCUCUGUUUACUCCAGCCUCAUCUAUAUAUAUGUUAUGUGUGUUUGGAAUAUCCAUUUUAGAAUUUGCGGUUUACCUUAAUAGUUGAUAGAUACCACGGACUACUAUCUAUAUAUCACAUAUCCUAAUACAUGUAUGAUUGCUCCAGUAAGUUCCAAAUAAUAGUUGGCUACUGUUCUAUGCUAUUCAGUUAUAUACAUGUCAUCAAGUCAUAGAUCUCGCACGCGACGGACUGUCUUUCACCUCCAAUGAACAUGCCAGUUAUCAAUUAUCCAGAACCUCCUACAACACCUGUUUCUAUUUCAUAUGUACAGCCAGACUACCAGGAACUACAAAACGCAAUAACAAGUAAGUACUGCACAUAGACAAAAAAAAUAUCAAAAAAAUAAUAAUAAAAGUAGAUAUAGAUAAAAAAAAAAAAGUAGAUAUAGAUAUGAAAGUAUAGAUACAUAUAAUGCUUCUUACAAUUUCAUUGAAAAUCAUUAUGAACAAUGCAGGGGAUAAUUUCUGUCCCAUUGUACCACCGCAUAUAGCUGCACAGAUCGCAAGAAAAGAAAACGUUCGAAUUACUUCAAAGAUCUGGCGCAACAAGCUUCAGAAACUGACAUACCGCUCUAUUUAUUACAAGAUAUGUUUGGAUCAUUGAAAGAAUAUACAAAUUUCCUCAAAGGUAUGUCCCCCUUACCUAUGCGUUGAAUUAAUAUAGUACAGCAUCUAAUCUUUUGCCACAAGGUAUUAUACCAGGUUUAAACUAAAAGAACUUUCUUUUCUUUUUUUUGUUGCAUAUAUUUAGAGACAUACAAAGAUCGGUCUUAUUAUGGUGCACCGGAUUAUAUCUGUGAUAAAUGUGAUGCUAUAUUUUCGUACCAAGAGCAUGUCGAAAAAAGCAGCUCAUAUGCCCAAAAAAGAAUCAUAUAUAAUUUGUGUUGCUAUGGUGGGAAAAUCUAAUUGUCAUGCUUUAGACCUAGACCAGAACCACUUAAUGAAUUUAUUCAAUUUGAUGGAGGCCCACAAAGCAAUAAAUUUAGGCGUCAUAUAAGACAAUACAAUUCUAUAUUUGCUUUUACCUCUAUGGGAGUUCAUGUUGAUCAAAGCAUUAACACUGGUGAUGGCUCAUAUGUCUUUCGUAUCAAUGGUGUUAUCCAUCAUCGUAUAGGAUCUUUAUUACCUAAACAUGGUGAGCCUCCUCAAUAUGCUCAACUUUAUAUCUACGAUACUGAGAAUGAAAUAACCAAUAGACUAAAUAUAUUUGGUAAUGACGCAGCGUCGAGAGAUUUAGAUCCAGCUAUUGUAGCAAAUAUCAUAAAGAUGCUAGAUGCAUAUAAUCCUUUAGUAAAAGAAUUCAGAAUGGCAAGAGAUCGUUUAUUAUCACCAACUGCUCCAGAUAUCUCAAUUAGAUUAAUCAGAAGUUAUACAACUCAUGCGGAUAGAUACGGUUUACCUACUGCUUCUGAAUUAGCUGCUUUGGUGAUUGGCGAUGCUUCUAUUGGUGCAACUGAAUUUGACAUCAUUGUUGAAUGUCAUAGUGGUGAAUUCAAACAGAUACAUCCUAUACAUCCAGCAUUGAUGGCAUUACAAUAUCCUCUUCUGUUUCCAUAUGGUGAGCCAAGUUACCAUUUGGGUAUCAAAUAUAAACAGAUCGACGGUCAGCCUUUGACUGGUAGACAAGAGAUCACAAUGCUCGAAUAUUUUACCUAUUAUGCUCAUUACUGAAAAUAUGUCCCAAAUCCCUAUACUUGCUGUGGUCGAUUAUCUGAUCAAGCUUCUGUAAAUGCAUAUUCUUGCGUGGAAAGCGAACGCUUGACAUUUUAUUUUUUCUACCAAGCUGAAUUAAGAUCUGAAACAUAUCAAAGAAUUACUGAAGCUAUUAACAAAGGUGACAUCAAGAGGUAAAGAUGUUGGGAUAAAACGUACAUUACCCUCAGUUUCAUUGGCUCCAAAAGAUAUCUGAUACAAAAUUACCAUGAUUGCAUGGCUAUAUGUCGUGUCUAUGGAGCACCACAGCUCUUUAUAACACAAACUUGCAAUAGCAAUUGGCUUGAGAUAAUAGAAGGAAUCAAGUAUGAAUCAGGUCAAAAACCACAUGACCGAAAUGAUAUUAUUGUUCGAGUGUUCCAUCUCAAGUUACAUGAGCUAUUAAAUGAUCUCAAAGAUGGGAGUAUAUUUGGACCUGUUCUAGCUGGGACUGGCAAAACAUUUUUAUGGAACAGCAUAAUCUACAAGCUAUGGUCACAAACAAAAAUUAUCUUACCUGUAGCUACAAGUGCAGUUGCUGCUUUGUUACUCUCUGGAGGUAGAACAGCACAUUCGAGAUUUCAAAUUCCGAUAGAUAUCAAUGAAUCAAGCACCUGCAAUAUACGGCGAGAUCAAAGUCUAAGAGAUAUCCUUUCACUUGAAAAUCCUAAUAAUAAAAACAAAUCUUUUGCUGGAAUGAACAUCCUUUUAGGGGGAGAUUUUAGACAAGUAUUACCAGUAGUCAACACUGCAACAUCUGCUGAAGCCAUUGGUGCAUCUUUAGUCAGUUCUCCAUUAUGAAUGGCUUCUAAAUGUUGGUGAUGGAAAAAUUCCAGGGCAAAUAGAUUCUGAAAAUGAAGAUGAGAAAUGGAUACUAUUGCCUACUGAUAUUCUAUUACAACCUACUAGCAAUAAUCUAGAAUCAAUAACCAAUGCUAUCUACGAUGAAUUCAAUAGCAACUUCAAUUCUGUUGAAUAUCUUAGCAGAAGAGCAUUGGUUCUCCUUUGAAUUCAACAGUUGAUGAAAUCAAUGAAUUUAUGCUCCAUAGAGUUCCAGGAGAUUGCAGAUAUUAUUUCAGCUAUGAUAGCAUCUUAAAUUC